UGAGAUAAUGCUGCCAUUGAGAGAAG
rnacentral:piRNA from 1 species